rnacentral:rRNA from 1 species
GUAGGUGGCAAGCGUUGUCCGGAAUUAUUGGGCGUAAAGCGCGCGCAGGCGGUCCUUUAAGUCUGAUGUGAAAGCCCACGGCUCAACCGUGGAGGGUCAUUGGAAACUGGGGGACUUGAGUACAGAAGAGGAAAGCGGAAUUCCAAGUGUAGCGGUGAAAUGCGUAGAGAUUUGGAGGAACACCAGUGGCGAAGGCGGCUUUCCGGUCUGUAACUGACGCUGAGGCGCGAAAGCGUGGGGAGCAAACAGGAUUAGAUACCCUGGUAGUCCACGCCGUAAACGAUGAGUGCUAAGUGUUAGGGGGUUUUCGCCCCCCUUAGUGCUGCAGCUAACGCAUUAAGCACUCCGCCUGGGGGAGUACGGCCCGCAAGGCUG